CUCUUCCCCCUCCCCAAACUCCCCCCCUCCGCCUGGCUCUCCGCGCAGCCGUGGGAUCUCGGAGGAGGGCGUCCAUUAGGCCGCGUGUGACCAUGUAAGGUCAUACAAACAGGAUAAAGGUGCAUUGCUGGUGAUGGGCAUGUUGCUCUGACUCAAGUAGUCUUUUGCUUAACAAAAAUUGACCUACCGGAGUGAUAAAGGGAGAAAAGUGCUUGGUCAGCCAAGGAAAAUACUGCAAAUGUUAACAAGAGAAUCUUGUGUGGCAGCUUAGCAAACCAAUUGCAUUUUGAUCCUCUUCUCUCUUCUGAAGAAUUCAAGUUCAGGUCUCUUCAAGCGGAAUUGAAUCAGGAGGAAAAUAAACCAAAUUUAUGUUGAUUUAUAAAUCAAAUUCUUUCCAUGAAAAUGAAACCUACAAAUAAGAUUA